GAGUUUGAUCAUGGCUCAGAUUGAACGCUGGCGGCAGGCCUAACACAUGCAAGUCGAGCGGUAGAGAGAAGCUUGCUUCUCUUGAGAGCGGCGGACGGGUGAGUAAUGCCUAGGAAUCUGCCUGGUAGUGGGGGAUAACGCUCGGAAACGGACGCUAAUACCGCAUACGUCCUACGGGAGAAAGCAGGGGACCUUCGGGCCUUGCGCUAUCAGAUGAGCCUAGGUCGGAUUAGCUAGUUGGUGAGGUAAUGGCUCACCAAGGCGACGAUCCGUAACUGGUCUGAGAGGAUGAUCAGUCACACUGGAACUGAGACACGGUCCAGACUCCUACGGGAGGCAGCAGUGGGGAAUAUUGGACAAUGGGCGAAAGCCUGAUCCAGCCAUGCCGCGUGUGUGAAGAAGGUCUUCGGAUUGUAAAGCACUUUAAGUUGGGAGGAAGGGCAGUAAAUUAAUACUUUGCUGUUUUGACGUUACCGACAGAAUAAGCACGGCUAACUCUGUGCCAGCCG
rnacentral:rRNA from 1 species